UACGGAGGAUGCAAGCGUUAUCCGGAAUGAUUGGGCGUAAAGCGUCCGCAGGUGGCUGUGUAAGUCUGCUGUUGAAGAGUGAGGCUCAACCUCAUAAAGGCAGUGGAAACUACAUGGCUAGAGUGCGUUCGGGGCAGAGGGAAUUCCUGGUGUAGCGGUGAAAUGCGUAGAGAUCAGGAAGAACACCGGUGGCGAAAGCGCUCUGCUAGGCCGCAACUGACACUGAGGGACGAAAGCUAGGGGAGCGAAUGGG
rnacentral:rRNA from 1 species